AUGACAAUCUUGAUAGAAAAUGGCAUAAAUUGGAAGCCAAUGGCCAAGUACAUGAUAGCAUUUAUGGCUAUGACUAAGCUUGUUGUCUUCAGUGUUCCCAAAAAUGAAUCAGUGAACCAUUAUGAAUUAUGCAUUGCUAUGGAAAAAGAUACUUUUGCAACAAAAAAAAAUGCAAUUUUUUAA